rnacentral:rRNA from 1 species
ACCAGACUCCUACGGGAGGCAGCAGUGGGGAAUAUUGGACAAUGGGGGGAACCCUGAUCCAGCGACGCCGCGUGAGUGAAGAAGUAUUUCGGUAUGUAAAGCUCUAUCAGCAGGGAAGAAAGAAAUGACGGUACCUGACUAAGAAGCCCCGGCUAACUACGUGCCAGCAGCCGCGGUAAUACGUAGGGGGCAAGCGUUAUCCGGAUUUACUGGGUGUAAAGGGGGCGCAGACGGCAGCGCAAGCCAGGAGUGAAAGCCCGGGGCCCAACCCCGGGACUGCUCUUGGAACUGCGCGGCUGGAGUGCAGGAGGGGCAGGCGGAAUUCCUGGUGUAGCGGUGAAAUGCGUAGAUAUCAGGAGGAACACCGGCGGCGAAGGCGGCCUGCUGGACCGUGACUGACGUUGAGGCUCGAGAGCGUGGGGAGCAAACAGGAUUAGAUACCCCUGUAA